UCAAUUUUUUUCCCUUUCUCUCUCUCUCUCUCCGCCCAACAAAUACACGGUCAUUCACAACACAAACAAUCAACAGCAACAAAGCUGCUUCUUCUUCAAUCUCUCUCUCUCCCUCUCUCCCUCUCCCUCUCUCUCUCCGAUUCGAAAUAAAUAUGCAGAUCUCAUGCACCUUCUUCCGCUCUGCCUUUCCUUCGCCGGAUCUUUGCCGUCACCGGAGCUUCUGCUUCAUUGCCAUAGCUUCAGCACAAUGAGUUAUCUUUGUGCUUAUCUAUCACCGUAAUUUCCUUGAUUAAUUAGGUAAUAAUGAAUGCAUUGAAUACUGUGAAAAGAGUUGAACAAACUCAUACAUACAUGAUCAAUACUAACUUAAGUAUGCCUACAAAAACACAAAUAAAAUCUUGGACUUUAAUCACUACGAUUUAUAGCCCCUAACCUCUAACCAAAGUUCAAUGGCCAUUCAAGUGAAUAAAGAGGGUCUUAUCCAAUUGUCUAAGACUUUCUCCACUAAUGUUUAGUUCUUUGAGAGAUUCACCUCCAGAAUUAUCUUCUGAAAUCUUAACUCCACCUGAAUUUGAAUUAAACACGUUUGAGGGGUUUCGAUCUUUAUAAAUUGCAUUCAUGGGUGGGAGGGUUAACCGAUAGCAGAAUUCGGUUUGCUCUAGCUAACUGGAGAGAAGCGAGGCUUGGUAUUCAGAUUGUGUCCAAAUUCUGAAGUUUAAUUUUCUGAUGUUACUUAUGUGAACAAUCUUGUGGAACGGACAAUGCCUGAUUUGAAAAGGGUAGGUGUUGGUGAGAAAAUGAAGGGAUUUGUGUAUACUUUGCAGGGAAUUUUUGACAAUGAAGGUGCAUUUAAGAACAUAAAAACGUUGAAGGAGUUUGAUGAUAGAAACUCAAUGACUAAUAUUCUGUGGUGGAUUUGUAGUAGAGGUUGAAAUGUUGAGACAGUGAAUGACUGUAUAGUUUAUGAUUCUAUUAUGGCUUUCUUUUUAUGUAUUGUUUCUUGCAAUUCUAAUUCGUAUUUUGGUUAUGAAAUUGCAACUAGUUAUUUGUGGAACUAAGUCUAUUGCUUGUGUGUUCUGGAUUAGAAUUAUGAUGCUAACAUUGUUUUGAA